UUUUCAUCCAUGGGAUAAGGUUUCGCGUAACGCGAAGUAACAGGGAAUCGUGUGCAAAUCACGAGCUGUCGCGCAACUGUAAGUAACGCAUAAGCUUUUGCCGGAGAUGCCCACUGUUCCAGCGACGGAAUGGGAAGGGCGGCAAAAGAGUUACGAGCCAGGAGACCUACCUUAUCCGCAGCGGCGAU
rnacentral:ncRNA from 2 species